CCAGACUCCUACGGGAGGCAGCAGUGAGGAAUAUUGGGCAAUGGAGGCAACUCUGACCCAGCCAUGCCGCGUGAGUGAAGAAGGUUUUCGGAUUGUAAAGCUCUUUCGGAUGUGACGAUGAUGACGGUAGCAUCUAAAGAAGCCCCGGCUAACUACGUGCCAGCAGCCGCGGUAAUACGUAGGGGGCAAGCGUUAUCCGGAAUCACUGGGUGUAAAGGGAGCGUAGACGGCUGUGCAAGCCUGAAGUGAAAGGCGGGGGCCCAACCCCUGGACUGCUUUGGGAACUGUACGGCUGGAGUGCAGGAGAGGUAAGUGGAAUUCCUAGUGUAGCGGUGAAAUGCGUAGAUAUUAGGAGGAACACCAGUGGCGAAGGCGGCUUACUGGACUGUAACUGACGUUGAGGCUCGAAAGCGUGGGGAGCAAACAGGAUUAGAUACCCCCGUA
rnacentral:rRNA from 1 species